rnacentral:rRNA from 1 species
AGCUUGCUCUUCUUGGAUGAGUUGCGAACGGGUGAGUAACGCGUAGGUAACCUGCCUUGUAGCGGGGGAUAACUAUUGGAAACGAUAGCUAAUACCGCAUAACAAUGGAUGACACAUGUCAUUUAUUUGAAAGGGGCAAUUGCUCCACUACAAGAUGGACCUGCGUUGUAUUAGCUAGUAGGUGAGGUAACGGCUCACCUAGGCGACGAUACAUAGCCGACCUGAGAGGGUGAUCGGCCACACUGGGACUGAGACACGGCCCAGACUCCUACGGGAGGCAGCAGUAGGGAAUCUUCGGCAAUGGGGGCAACCCUGACCGAGCAACGCCGCGUGAGUGAAGAAGGUUUUCGGAUCGUAAAGCUCUGUUGUAAGUCAAGAACGAGUGUGAGAGUGGAAAGUUCACACUGUGACGGUAGCUUACCAGAAAGGGACGGCUAACUACGUGCCAGCAGCCGCGGUAAUACGUAGGUCCCGAGCGUUGUCCGGAUUUAUUGGGCGUAAAGCGAGCGCAGGCGGUUUGAUAAGUCUGAAGUUAAAGGCUGUGGCUCAACCAUAGUUCGCUUUGGAAACUGUCAAACUUGAGUGCAGAAGGGGAGAGUGGAAUUCCAUGUGUAGCGGUGAAAUGCGUAGAUAUAUGGAGGAACACCGGUGGCGAAAGCGGCUCUCUGGUCUGUAACUGACGCUGAGGCUCGAAAGCGUGGGGAGCGAACAGGAUUAGAUACCCUGGUAGUCCACGCCGUAAACGAUGAGUGCUAGGUGUUGGAUCCU